rnacentral:rRNA from 1 species
UACGGGGGGGGGCAAGCGUUUGUUCGGAAUUACUGGGCGUAAAGGGCUCGUAGGCGGCCAACUAAGUCAGACGUGAAAUCCCUCGGCUUAACCGGGGAACUGCGUCUGAUACUGGUUGGCUUGAAUCCGGGAGAGGGAUGUGGAAUUCCAGGUGUAGCGGUGAAAUGCGUAGAUAUCUGGAGGAACACCGGUGGCGAAGGCGGCAUCCUGGACCGGUAUUGACGCUGAGGCGCGAAAGCUAGGGGAGCGAACAGG